rnacentral:rRNA from 1 species
GAUGAACGCUGGCGGCGUGCCUAAUACAUGCAAGUCGAGCGAACAGACGAGGAGCUUGCUCCUCUGACGUUAGCGGCGGACGGGUGAGUAACACGUGGAUAACCUACCUAUAAGACUGGGAUAACUUCGGGAAACCGGAGCUAAUACCGGAUAAUAUAUUGAACCGCAUGGUUCAAUAGUGAAAGACGGUUUUGCUGUCACUUAUAGAUGGAUCCGCGCCGCAUUAGCUAGUUGGUAAGGUAACGGCUUACCAAGGCAACGAUGCGUAGCCGACCUGAGAGGGUGAUAGGCCACACGGGAGCUGAGACGCGGUCCAGGCUCCUACGGGAGGCAGCAGUAGGGAAUCUGCCGCAAUGGGCGAGAGCCUGACGGAGCAACGCCGCGUGAGUGAUGAAGGUCUUCGGAUCGUAAAACUCUGUUAUUAGGGAAGAACAAAUGUGUAAGUAACUAUGCACGUCUUGACGGUACCUAGUCAGAAAGCCACGGCUAACUACGUG